AACAAAUAAAAUUAAUAAUCUAUAUUUAAUUUUAAAACACCAUAAAGACUUUACUUCAAAGCAGUUCAGAAGAUGCUUAAUCCACCCUCCAAAAACAUCUAAAACAGUAAUCACAGAAUAUUAAACCCGCUGUAGAGGUAGUAAAUGACAUGACCAACGUAAAAACUUAAUGGAAGAGCUUAGGGAAAGGCUCCUCCCAGUAAUGAUACUGCCCCCUAGAAGACAGCAUAGAUAUCAAACACUGAAAACAAAUGGUGUGCAUUCUUGAAAACCUGCCAGAAACAGUAGCUUUCAAAGGUA